CUCAUCUAUAACCAAAGUAAAGAGAUUGGAGCUCAACGUUGACCCUUGAUGUAGGCAUACUGUCACUAAGAACUCACAUAUCUUUACACCAAUUGUCUUUACACUAGUUAGCACUCCCUCGUACAUAUCCUUUACUAUGUCAAUUACUCACCAACUCUUUUAAGAUCGUAAUAUUGAUAUAUCUCUUUGCUGACUCAGUAGUGGAAUUGAGCUUACCAAAUCCCUUAGGAUCCCAUUAAAUAAUUUUAUUAAUACAUAUUUGCUAACUCAAACUAAGAUCUGAGCUUUGAAUGUUUCUUCCAUAUUAACCCUGUCAAGUGCAUAAAUUCCAACAAAAAAUAUGGGCCCGGAUUUUAUAGUAUUAAUGCGAAUGGGCCAGGCCAGCUCCUUUAUGGGUCUUGUCAGACCGAGCCAAGUCCUGAAUUGAAGGCUCAUCAACU
rnacentral:lncRNA from 1 species